UACGGAGGAUCCGAGCGUUAUCCGGAUUUAUUGGGUUUAAAGGGUGCGUAGGUGGCCUGUAAGUCAGUGGUGAAAGUUUGCAGCUUAACGUGUAAAAUUGCCGUUGAAACUGCCGGUCUUGAGUGCAAAUGAGGUAAGCGGAAUGUGUUGUGUAGCGGUGAAAUGCUUAGAUAUGACACAGAACACCGAUUGCGAAGGCAGCUUACUGGGAUGCCACUGACACUGAGGCACGAAAGCGUGGGUAUCGAAACAGGAUUAGAUA
rnacentral:rRNA from 1 species